ACUAACAGCAACUGUUUUGUAUUUUCCACGGUGUGUGAAGAUGAUGUGCCAUUGUGAUACUCGGACAACGAGGACUUGAUUCAACCUGAACCUGACUUAGACAACGAUGAUGCGGAUUGCCUCGUCGAAGAUGCACCGAUGGAAGAUGAAGAUGAGGACGAGGAUAAUGAUGAAGAUGAUGAAGAUGAAGAUUACUUUCCUGGACCAUCAUCAAAGUCAGCACAUCCAACAAAGUGCCGUCGAGUUGGGUCUGCCACUGCCACUGAGAGUGAGGGAGGAGCAAGAGGGGGGAGACGAUGGGUGGCAUGACCGAGAGGAGAGAGAUAAGACACCAGACCCUCUCAGAUUCAUGCCUGCCAAGGAGCCUGGCCCCACCUGUGACACCACGGCCUCAUGGUCUCCCCUCUCACUGUUUCAGCUGUUUUUCAGCACAUCUGUUGUCCGCACCAUCAUCACCAACACAAACGCAAAUGCUGCAAAGAGACUGGAUUGGAGUUUGUUUGGAAACCUCUGACGGUGAGUGAUUUUUACAUUUUCCUGGCCAUUAUACUUUUCUCAGGGCUUGUAAAAGUGCCCAACAGAGGGGACUGUUGGAGGAAGGAAUGGCCAUACAACUUCCAAUUCCCUGGUGAUAGGAUGACACAGGAUCGCUUUGAAUCCAUCUUAUGGUCCCUGCACUUGAGCAACCCAGCAGCAGACAAGGCCAACGACCGCAAGCAGAACACUGCAGAGUAUGGCAGACUCUUCAAGAUGAAGCCCCUGUACACUGAGAUAGUGAAUGCCUGUAAAGUACACUUCCAGCCUUAUCAGAACAUUGUCAUAGAUGAAAGGAUGGUGGCAUCUAAGGCUCGCAUAAGCAUGAAGCACUACAUGAAGGCAAAGCCUGCAAAGUGGGGAUACAAAAUAUUUGUGCUUGCUGACUCCUCAAUGGCCCACAUGUGGAAUUUUUUUGUCUAUGAAGGGAAGAGUGUGCACGUUCCAGGCCAGGGUUUGAGCUACACAUCAGUCAUGCACUUUAUGGUAUUCCCCCCUCCUUGGUUGGGGCUACACACUAUUCGUUGACAAUUUUUAUUCCAGCCCUGCCCUCUCUGAGGAAUUGUCCAGAUGAAACACUGGUGCGUGUGGCACAAUCAGAAGAAAUCAGAUUGGCUUUCCAAAGACCAAACAAAUGGAUGGACACAUGUAAAGUGACCAUUUGCUCCACUGUCCAUGCAGCAUUCAGCGGACAGACUGUGAGGAGGAGAGUGAAAGAGGCUGGUGUGUGCCAGACGAAGGAUUCUGGAAUCUAUUCUAGAAUACAAUCACAGCAUGGGUGGCGUGGAUCUUUCCGAUACUUUGAUUGGCUACUACAGUGUCCACCACAAAACUAUGAAAUGGUAUAAGACCUUCUUUUACCAUUUCAUGGACAUUGCUUUAGUCAACAGCUUCCUUCUCCACAAGAAGAAGACAAAAAAGUUCACUUGCCCAGAAGCGCUUCGGGGAGAAGCUAACUGCAGAGAUGCUGGAGUUUGCUAAAGCCUCAGCUCCACCUCCACCUCCAACACCAACCUUCUACAUACCUGCGUACUAUGAAGAUAAUGGUACCCAGUCCAGGAGGUACUGUCAGAGAUGCCAGGAUGCUGGCAUGAAAAGGGUGAAGACACCUGUGUACUGCAUGAAGUGCCAGGUCCCUCUGUGCUUCACUCCUAAAAGAAACUUCUUCAUUGGCACAGCUGUGACGGCCCCAGAGCCUGUUGUCUCUGUUGCCUUUGGUCCUGGGGUUUGUCUGUGUGUUGCAGAUCCUUGGAUGGGUGGAGCCGAUGUCACUCAAGUACUAACUGGGAACACCUGGCCAGUGCCCCAGAGAGUAUUUAAGCCCGCCUGCCAGUCCCUCUCUGAUCCCUUCUCCACUCACCAUGCUGUGGUAGUUUUUUGUGUUUCCUUUUUUGUUUUGUUCUGCACUGACAACACGCACCUCACAUUAGACAACACAUUCAUACACUUCCAAACACCACUGACACUGACUUCCACAUCUCAUUGUAAUUAUUGUCAUUUACUUGAAUAAAUUUCAGUUUAUUAUUGCUGAGUUUGGGCGUGCGUCUCCCUCCUUUGUUGGCCAUAACAAUUGGGGGCUCAUUGUUGUGAGUAGAAAGACAGGAGUUUUUGUGGAUUUGGUCUGCGUGCGAGGACCUGCCUCCACCUGUAAUAGCGGGUCCCAGUGCUGGCUUGACUUUUGAACAGCAGAGGGAGUUACUAUUGUUGUGCAUGCAGCAAGAGAAAAAGAAGGAAGUUGCAGUAGAAAAGAUGCGCCAGGGUAUUGAGAUGGAAAAAGUGUUGUCAUUGGAGAAGAUGAGGCAAGAAACUGAAAAGGCAAAGCUUGAGCUGCAAAAACAAAAACUGAUUUUGAUUAGAGAGGGGAAAGUUGCGGCUGAUAUUCUGCUUACUGAUGGUUCCUCCAUUUCAAGCGAGACCCUGAGGAGGUCCGUGGAUGAUUUGAGUGAUUUGAGGCUGGUUCCCAACAUGAGAGAGAUCCGGAAACUUUCCUUGCAAUGUUUGAGCGGCUGGCCGAUACGCGGGGCUGGCCUGAUUCCACUCGCACUUUAAUGUUGCAAUGUGUGUUAACCGGCAGGGCUCAGUAGACUUAUUCCUCAUUAACUAACAGUUAUUGUUUGAAGUAUGAUUUGGUGAAGUCUGCUGUUCUCAAGGCAUAUGAGCUGGUGCCUGAAGCUUAUCGCCAACGAUUCAGGAGUUGGAAAAGAGGUGAUGAAUCUCACCUUUUGAUAUCACGAGCAAACUCCAAAGAGUUUGCUCGUGAUAUCUCUACUCACUUUGAUCAUUGGUGUGCUGCUGCUGAGGUUGACUCUCAUGUGGCUCUGCGUGACUUAGUUAUUCGGGAGCAGUUUAAAAACUCUGUGUCGGAACGCAUCGCCACUUAUAUUAGUGAGCAGACAGUUAGGACAGCAGCUGAGGCCGCUGCUUUGGCGGAUGACUAUGUUUUGACACAUGGUGGGGAGUGUCCUGUUGCUGGGGGCGGCAGUGGACACAGGGAAAAUUCCUCGGCCAUGGGUGCGUGGUCUGCUCGUCCAGUGAGACUGGUUUGGCUGGAGCAGAGACAUGAAUGUGGGUCUCGUAAGUCUGACAAAAUUUGUAAUUAUUGUCAUAAACGAGGGCACUGGAGGAGAGACUGUUAUGUUAUCAAAUCCAGGACUAAGCAGGCUAGUGCUAGUAUUUACCCCAAGCCAGCAAUGUUUGUUGCACCCGUCUCUGAGCAGGUGUCUGAGCUUGCAUGUGGUGAGUUGAAACCACGGGUGUCUAGUCCGGAGCUGGAAUCUUACUUUCCUUUCAUCACUGAAGGUGUUGUCUCUCUGGUAGGGAGUGAUGAGAAAAUGCAUGUGAAGAUAUUGUGUGAUACUGGUGCUUUUGAUUCAUUCAUUUUAGCAUCAACCUUCCCAUUUUCAGAUGACAUCUACAUGGGUACUUUAAUUCCGGUGCUUGGAAUAGGCCUGAAAGUUUUGUGUGUACCUCUCCAUAAAAUGAUGUUGUCCUCUGAUCUGUUUCAGGGUGAGGUGGCAGUCGGCGUGCAGCCGGCUCUGCCUGUGGCUGGUGUCACGAUAAUCUUGGGCAAUGAUAUAGCGGGGAGUCGCAUGUGGGCUGAUGUUGCACCUCAUACUAUCAUAGUGCCAGCGCCCCUGGUUGUCAGUAAGCCUGACAAAUGUGAAACAGAGUUUCCUGAUGUGUUUACGGUGUGCACUGUGACGCGUGCCAUGAAGUGUGAACAGUUGGAUGAAAUAAAUUCCACUUAAAAUUGAUGAUAUCCUGCAGCAGCAUGUUGUAACACGUCCUGAUAUGCCUGGGUCUGUUUCUCACAGUGAGCUGGUGAAGGAGCAGCAUGCUGAUUCGUUUAUGAAGUAUCUGAUGGAGAGUGUGCUUCCUGGGGGUGAGGUGAAAAAUCAUGCUCAGUGUUAUUUCCUCAAGAAUGAAGUGCUAAUGAGAAAGUGGGUACCUCAGUGGGAGCAUUUUGUUGGUGAGCCUGUUUACCAAAUUGUGGCGCCUUCGAGGUUCUGUAGUGUGGUGUUGUAGGUUUCCCAUGAUGAGUCUGGCCAUUUAGGCGUAAGGAAGACGUAUGACCGCAUCCUGAAGUAUUUCUUUUGGCCACGUCUGAAGAGAGAUGUGUCUGCUUACAUUAAGUCAUGUCAUACAUGUCAGCUAACCAGUAAGCCUAAUCAGAGCCUAAAACCUGCUCCGUUGUGCCCGAUACCAACUACAAGUCGGCCUUUUGAGCAUCUUAUUAUUGAUUGUGUGGGUCCAUUGCCUCCCUCUAAAUCAGGUGCUACUUACCUGUUGACAGUGAUGUGCCAGAGUACAAGGUAUCCAGCUGCGUAUCCUUUACGCAUGAUCACAGCCAGGUCUGUG